GGGGAAUUUUGCGCAAUGGGGGAAACCCUGACGCAGCAACGCCGCGUGCGGGACGAAGGCCUUCGGGUUGUAAACCGCUUUCAGCAGGGAAGACCUUGACGGUACCUGCAGAAAAAGCCCCGGCUAACUACGUGCCAGCAGCCGCGGUAAUACGUAGGGGGCGAGCGUUAUCCGGAUUCAUUGGGCGUAAAGCGCGCGCAGGCGGCCGAUCAAGCGGAACCUCUAAUCCCGGGGCUCAACCCCGCGGCCGGGUUCCGAACUGGUCGGCUCGAGUUCGGUAGAGGAGGGUGGAAUUCCCGGUGUAGCGGUGGAAUGCGCAGAUAUCGGGAAGAACACCGAUGGCGAAGGCAGCCCUCUGGGCCGACACUGACGCUGAGGCGCGAAAGCUGGGGGAGCGAAC
rnacentral:rRNA from 1 species